CCUACGGGAGGCAGCAGUGGGGAAUAUUGGACAAUGAGGGGAACCCUGAUCCAGCCAUGCCGCGUGUGUGAAGAAGGCCCUCGGGUUGUAAAGCACUUUCAGUGAGGAAGAACGCCUGGUGGUUAAUACCCAUCAGGAAAGACAUCACUCACAGAAGAAGCACCGGCUAACUCCGUGCCAGCAGCCGCGGUAAUACGGAGGGUGCGAGCGUUAAUCGGAAUUACUGGGCGUAAAGCGCGCGUAGGUGGCUUGAUAAGCCGGUUGUGAAAGCCCCGGGCUCAACCUGGGAACGGCAUCCGGAACUGUCAAGCUAGAGUGCAGGAGAGGAAGGUAGAAUUCCCGGUGUAGCGGUGAAAUGCGUAGAGAUCGGGAGGAAUACCAGUGGCGAAGGCGGCCUUCUGGACUGACACUGACACUGAGGUGCGAAAGCGUGGGUAGCAAACAGGAUUAGAUACCCUUGUAGUC
rnacentral:rRNA from 1 species